CCUACGGGGGGCUGCAGUGGGGGAUAUUGCACAAUGGGGGGAACCCUGAUGCAGCGACGCCGCGUGGGUGAAGGAGUGCUUCGGCAUGUAAAGCCCUAUCGGCAGGGAAGAAGCAAGACGGUACCUGACUAAGAAGCCCCGGCUAAAUACGUGCCAGCAGCCGGGGUAAUACGUAGGGGGCGAGCGUUUUCCGGAUUCACUGGGUGUAAAGGGAGGGUAUGCGGCCAAGCAAGGCAGGGGUGAAAGCCCGGGGCCCAACCCCGGGACUGCCGUUGGAACCGCAUGGCUGGAGUGCGGGAGGGGCAGGCGGAAUGCCUGGUGUAGCGGUGAAAUGCGUAGAUAUCAGGAGGAACACCGGCGGCGAAGGCGGCCUGCUGGACCGCGACUGACGUUGAGGCUCGAAAGCGUGGGGAGCGAACAGGAUUAGAUACCCUUGUAGUC
rnacentral:rRNA from 1 species